rnacentral:rRNA from 1 species
UACGAAGGGAGCUAGCGUUGCUCGGAAUCACUGGGCGUAAAGCGCACGUAGGCGGCUUCUUAAGUCAGGGGUGAAAUCCUGGGGCUCAACCCCAGAACUGCACUUGAUACUGAGGAGCUUGAGUGCGGGAGAGGUGAGUGGAACUCCGAGUGUAGAGGUGAAAUUCGUAGAUAUUCGGAAGAACACAAGUGGCGAAGGCGGCUCACUGGCCCGGUACUGACGCUGAGGUGCGAAAGCGUGGGGAGCAAACAGG